CCUACGGGAGGCAGCAGUGGGGAAUAUUGCACAAUGGGGGAAACCCUGAUGCAGUGACGCCGCGUGAGUGAAGAAGUAUUUCGGUACGUAAAGCUCUAUCAGCAGGGAAGAAAAUGACGGUACCUGACUAAGAAGCCCCGGCUAACUACGUGCCAGCAGCCGCGGUAAUACGUAGGGGGCAAGCGUUAUCCGGAUUUACUGGGUGUAAAGGGAGCGUAGACGGCAGCGCAAGUCUGGAGUGAAAUCCCAUGGCUUAACCAUGGAACUGCUUUGGAAACUGUGCAGCUAGAGUGCAGGAGAGGUAAGCGGAAUUCCUAGUGUAGCGGUGAAAUGCGUAGAUAUUAGGAGGAACACCAGUGGCGAAGGCGGCUUACUGGACUGUAACUGACGUUGAGGCUCGAAAGCGUGGGGAGCAAACAGGAUUAGAUACCCCGGUAGUC
rnacentral:rRNA from 1 species